CAUGGAGGGUGAGAAUCCCGUUCGGUUGAUCAUUACGUUUUACGAUACGCUUUCAGAGAGUCAAGUUGUUUGGGAUUGCAGCUUAAAAUGGGAGGUAAAUUUCUCCUAAGGCUAAAUAACGGCGAGAGACCGAUAGCGAACAAGUACCGUGAGGGAAAGAUGAAAAGAACUUUGAAAAGAGAGUUAAAUAGUACGUGAAAUUGUUGAAAGGGAAACGAUUGAAGCCAGUCGUACCGGCGGGCAAUCAGCCUUUUGGGUGUGAUUAUGUGGAGCAUGAGGAGUUAAUCACCUUCAUCUUUACAUAUUCGUGCACUUUGGGUGUACUUGCUCGUGUGGUAGGUUAACAUCAAUUUUAAUUGUCAUAAAAUGGCUGGAGGAAUGUAGCUUCGAUCUCGUAUUGAAGUGUUAUAGCCUUCGGUAGAUGUGAUGGUUGGGAUUGAGGAUUGCAACGGAUACUCUUCGGGGCUACCUGUCUGAUCUCUGAAAGUUGCUCUGGUGCUGAAAGCUUGCUUAUGGUAUCAAAGUUGACGUUCAAUAGGUUAGAAUGGGUUAAAUUCGUUAAGGAUGUUGACGUAAUGG
rnacentral:rRNA from 1 species